rnacentral:misc_RNA from 1 species
AACGCAUAUUGCACUUCUCCGGAAGUAUGCCUGUUUGAGAAUCUAUAGUAUCUUUUCACCAGUGUAUGCUGGUGGAGAUUUGGGGCUUCUCGCUUGAGUGCCCUUAAAGCUAUAGCUUGACACUGAUCGAGUGCUAGAGCGUUUGUAUUUGAAACUCUUCGAGUACCUGUACGACGACCUAGCGCAAAGCUCGAGACUGGGCCAAGUCCACCACGGAGGUUUGAAAAAGAACCCGAACCAUGGUCUCAAAUCAGGUAGGAGGACCCGCUGAACUUAA